UUCAUACGGCAGGAGUCAUUGGUUCAAAUCCAAUAGUAGGUA
rnacentral:tRNA from 2 species